GCCUUUUUAAGUUUCUUUAAAACUUCGACCAGUUGCUCCUCUUGGUAUUCUGUUAGUUCUGCUGAAACAACCAUAGGCAAAGUAGAACUGUUACUUCAAAUAAACGUGUUUCAAAUAGGAAGUAAAUUAAGUUCGAGUUUGAGUGGUUAUUUGAUUAAGAACUUCGGUUGUGCGAAUUCUCAAACUUCUAACUCUAAGGGUUCAAACCGUGCUUGUUGAACAUAGUUCCUAGAAUUGGCUUCCAUCAAAUCCAUAUUUUC
rnacentral:lncRNA from 1 species